rnacentral:rRNA from 1 species
AGAGUUUGAUCCUGGCUCAGGACGAACGCUGGCGGCGUGCCUAACACAUGCAAGUGGAGCGACGAACCAGGCUUCGGCCUGGGGCAAAGCCGCGAACGGGUGAGUAACACGUGGGUAACCUGCCCUGAUGAUCGGGACAACCCGAGGAAACUCGGGCUAAUACCGAAUGUGCCCUCCUGCCAUAAGGCAGCUGGGGAAAGGAAGCUUCGGCCUCCGCAUCGGGAUGGGCCCGCGGCCCAUUAGCUUGUUGGUGAGGUAACGGCUCACCAAGGCUGCGAUGGGUAGCUGGUCUGAGAGGACGAUCAGCCACACUGGGACUGAGACACGGCCCAGACUCCUACGGGAGGCAGCAGUGGGGAAUCUUGCGCAAUGCGCGAAAGCGUGACGCAGCAACGCCGCGUGGGUGAAGAAGGCCUUCGGGUUGUAAAGCCCUUUCAGUUGGGACGAAGCUCCGUCGGUGAAUAGCCGACCGGAGUGACGGUACCUUCAGAAGAAGCCCCGGCUAACUACGUGCCAGCAGCCGCGGUAAUACGUAGGGGGCAAGCGUUGUCCGGAAUCAUUGGGCGUAAAGAGCGUGUAGGUGGCUCGGUAAGUCCGCUGUAAAAGUCCAGGGCUCAACCCUGGAAAGCCGGUGGAAACUGUCGAGCUAGAGUCCGGAAGAGGCGAGUGGAAUUCCUGGUGUAGCGGUGAAAUGCGCAGAUAUCAGAGGAACACCAAUGGCGAAGCAGCUCGCUGGGACGGUACUGACACUGAGACGCGAAAGCGUGGGGAGCAAACAGGAUUAGAUACCCNNGUAGUCC